rnacentral:lncRNA from 1 species
UCCAGCUGCCAAUGCCCCAAGUCUGAUUGCCCAAGGGCUUAUCUGGAGUGAAAGAAAUAGGAUGCCCCCUUUUGUUUCUAUGAAACUCACCCUCCCAAGCCCCUUACCUCUAUAAAAGCUCCUGCUCUCUUCUUUUGUUAAGGUGGAUUUGAGAGAACCUAUCCUCCCGCCUUCUCAUUUUGGCCAAUUUGAAUAAACCUUUCUCCAUCUCCAAGCAGAUGUCUUAGUAAUUGGCUUACUGCACAUUGGCACAGGAAUUUGAGAUAAAGAGGUUUGGUAUCACUUCUGGCUUGGGAGACAAGGAGGCUUCUUGGGGUGGGAGGCACCCUUGUUGGCCCUUAAAGGUGAGCAGGGGCCAGCCCGGUGGCACACUGGUUAAGUUUGCAAGUUCCAUUUCUCAGUGGCCUGGGGUUUGCUGGUUUGGAUCCUGGGUGCGGACAUGGCACCGCUUGGCAAAAAGCCAUGCUGUGGUAGGUGUCCCAUGUAUAAAGUAGAGGAAGAUGGGCACGGAUGUUAGCUCAGGGCUAGUCUUCCUCAGCAAAAAGAGGAGGAUUGGCAGUAGUUAGCUCAGGGCUAAUUUUCCUCAAAAAAAAAAAGGUGAGCAGAAUUCAGACUGUUUGAGGGAGAGAGCAUUCUAAGGCAGGGGACUGUCAGGCAUGAAGGUGCAGAGGUAAGACAACAUGGAACAUGGGCGGGACUUCAAGGCGCCCAGUUUGUCUCCUGAGUGGGUGUAUUAAUCAGGAAGUUAUGAGCUCCAGGUAACAGAAUACUGAUCUAAAAGCGGCUUAAACAAUAAGAUCAAUUAUUCCCUCACUGAAUCAAAAGUCUGCAGAUGGGUGGUUUCAGGGUUGGUCUAGCAGGUAAGCAGUGUCAUUGUCAUCAAGGCCUAGGCGCUAUCCCUCUUUCUGUUCUUCACGCCCUUGUCAGCAUUGCCUGUCCAUGGAGAGGUGGCUGCUCCUCCCAGCUCAUCCUCCCCGGAUCACAGCCACAAGAAAGGGAAGCAUAGGACAUCCUGACCUGACCCAACCUGACUCGUAUGCAAAGUUACAGGCCCACCCAAUAACCAGACUCCACCUGCACUGAUACUAUUUUAAGGACUUUUUUACAUGAUCUUUCCUUUGUCUAGUAAAGAAAUAACGCACAUACCUAUGCCUUAUAAAUGUAGCCCUACCCUCAACCCACUGCAGCCCUUCACUGCCCAUGGGUCCUGUCCCCAUCCUAUUCUCUGAAUAAAGGAGCACUACUACCAGACCUUGAGAGUCCAAGAAACAUUUCUUUCGAUUCCUCAGCUCGCCAAGCCCACAUCACAAACAGAAUCACACCCACUCUCAUCUUAAUCAUUAGAAAGGGAAAUGGGAGCCAGCCCUGAUGGCCUAGUGGUUAAAGUUUGGGGUGCUCUGCUUAGGUGGCCCAGGUUUGGUUCCCGGGCAUAGAACCACACCACUCCUCUGAUGGUAGCUACACUGUGGCAGCAGCUCACAUAGAACUAGAGGACUUAAAACUAGAAUAUAUAAGUAUAUACUAGGGCUUUGGGG